UACGUAGGGUGCGAGCGGUAAUCGGAAUUACUGGGCGUAAAGCGUGCGCAGGCGGUUUUGUAAGACAGGCGUGAAAUCCCCGGGCUUAACCUGGGAAUGGCGCUUGUGACUGCAAAGCUGGAGUGCGGCAGAGGGGGAUGGAAUUCCGCGUGUAGCAGUGAAAUGCGUAGAUAUGCGGAGGAACACCAAUGGCGAAGGCAAUCCCCUGGGCCUGUACUGACGCUCAUGCACGAAAGCGUGGGGAGCAAACAGG
rnacentral:rRNA from 1 species